UACCUAAAAAAACACCCAAACCACUGCUCUGUGUUCCUCCUCUUCCCCAGCCCCGGCUUCCACCCCGCCGCCGCCUCCACUCCCCCAACUCCACCGGCCGCGGAUCUACCCGAGCGGUCAGAUCCGCCCCCACUCCCUCCCUCCGUCCCUCCUCGCGCUGGAAACCCUAGACCCCCCGGCCAUGGCGACCCAGGCUUCGAGAGGGAUCUGCUGCUCCCUCCUCCUCCUCCAACGGUGGCAGGUUGAGGCUGAGGGCAGCGGCCGGUGACCGGGGCAGCCAAAGGAAGGAACGGCUGUUGCGGUCUUCUGCUCCUUCUCCGCCGGUACAGAGGAGAGGCGCCGACGGCAGGCAUGGAAGUUUGGGAUUCUUCCUUCUUCACCACCAUCUCCUCCUCCCCAAGAACAGGACCUUCACCAAGGGAUUCGUGAGGUGAGAACCGUUUGGCCAGCCCGCAAGUCGUGGUGUUUGAUGAAUAUAAACUAGGCCUUGCCCCUAAAAUUUAACCAGCCGCCGUCCGGAUCCAAAAAUCCCCACCCCACCCCACCCAAAACGGAAGCAGGAGUAAGGAAGGAGGCUUGUGGCCUUGUGGGUCGCCUCUCCUUCGUCGGCGGCGCCGCCGACCGCUCGUACCCGACCUACACCAAGAUGAUUACGGAUGCGCUCACCGAGCCGGGAGGCACCUCCGCCAUCGCCGGAGGAGGUGUUUUGGCGGGGAUCAAGAGAAAGAAGAAGCGUGGGAGGCCAUUCAAGAAGAGGCCGCCGCGAAACCCGCUUGGGAGGCCGGGGAAGGUCAAACAGCCAGAUUCUGGAGCAACUCCAGCCGCGCCGUCACCGUCAACAACCGGUAUCAAGAGACCGCCAAGAAAAGACAAGUCAGCAGCAGCUUAUCCAUGUCAGGUCUUAUACUUGCUAGUUCUUUGGAGUGACGUCAUUCUGAUUUUAUAAGCUUAUCCAUGUCGGAACUGUCAGCUUAACUCUGUUUACUGGAACUUCCAACAUAAUUUGCAGUCAACUUGUUACAGCACAUUGAAGCUUUGGUUCAAGUUUCAUGUCAUGUUUUAUGGAUUGUACAUUUUUCAUAUAAGUUUCCUUUGUGAUAUAGCGAAAAGGAAAGGAGAUGUUAGUAGGCUCAUCUAGGUUGUGUCGUUUUUGCUCUUUCCACGUAGUAAUGUGAACAUAGUUACUUGCUCAUCACGGGUUGUACAGUACACUAGGCGUAGAAAACUGUAUGUAGCAUGUUGCCUUUCAUACUCUGUCAUGUUUUUACGGUUUGUCGAUCACUCAUUUAAGUUCAGUCACUGCACUUAACACUUGCACUUUUUUGAAGAAUAUUCUAAAUGAAGUAGAUCACGAGUCUCAAAUCUGGGCAGAGUUGUUUGUUCCGUUUGUACAGCUAAAUCUGCUAUACUUUGAUCAGGAAUUAGUUGUACUUGCUGUUAGGGAUGUAAAUGGCGUGAUAAACGGCGCUGCAAGGCCCGUUUAGUACUUCAUUUUUCCCAGAAAAAUUAAGCUUUCUUGAACUGUUAGACCGAUGAGUGGGCUUAAACGGGCGCCGUUUACAUCAUGACUUGAUGUCAGAUUAGUCGUAAAAGUGUUACGAAGUGAGAUAUGAGGGAGAUACCAAGACAAGAAAAUGUAUCUUGCAAAUUGUAACUUUUUUUCCCUUUCUCGAGUUUGAGUACAUGAUGAAUGUCUACUUGAUAAAAUGAUUUUUUGCUCUAUAGAUGACCAAACCAAGCAAGAAACGCCGCUCGUCGCUGCUGAAGUGCUCCAACAGAAGGUUCCUUGCAAGUUUUUGGUCAAAGGUGAUGCUUGCAAACAAGAAAAAGUGGUGCCCAGAUCGAUUUUAUAAUCACAAAUUUGUGAUGCAAGUCCUUAUUUCUACUAGAGAACUUCGAGUAACAUGUAGUAACUGGGAUUGCUGCUACUUAACGCUUAACGCAACGCCUAAUUAUAUAUGACAUGUCACUUAACGCU